AAGUUAUGAACUUGCUCGAGAAGCUGAAAUAUCGAAACAAGAGGUGAAAGAAUUUAAACAGAAAAUGACAUUUAUGCACACUGAAAUACUGGCAGAACAACCUAUCAAUGACAGUGCAAAUCACAUUGAGACGGAAAUGUGCUCUGCCAAUCUUGGAGACGAGAUAACCAAUGAUGACUGUUUGGAACAAGACAUGAAGAGUGACUCAGAAA